UUCUUCCUGGGCUGUCUUCAAACUGAAAUCCUCAAAUCUCAGCCUCCUGAGUAUCUAGGGUCACAGGCAUGAGCCACCCAGUGACUGGCUUUAUGGUAGAUUUUUUCGUAUAGUUUAUUUUUUUGCAACAGUUCUCACUAUUAAGCCCAUGCUGGUAUCAAGCUUGCUAUACUCCUGCCUCAGCUUCAUGAAUGCUGGGAUUACAACUCCAUGGUAGUUUUGUUCUUAACAUAAAAAAAGUGGGAACAGCUCAAAUAUCUAUAAACUGAAGAAUGAAUAAAUAUUCCACAAGCAGAAUAGAUAUUCCACAAAAUGAAGUAUUAUUCAGAAAUAAAAACAAAUGAAGUACUUGGGUUGGGGAUGUAGCUCAGUGGUAGAACAGGAGCAUGCCCAAAGGUCUGGGUUUCAUCUCUAGGAGGAGGAAAGGAAAGAAGGGAAAGAAGAAGAGGAGGAGGAAGAGAAGGAGGAAGAAGAGGAGGAGGAAGAAGUAGAGAUAAUGAUCUGCUUAAACAUGGUAUAAAUGGAUAGCACUUGAAAACAAUCUAAGUGAAAGAAGCCAGAGUACGUAUUGUAUGGUUCCAUUUACAUGAAAGCCCAGAAGGGGCAGCAAAUCUGUGCAGACAGGAAGUAGAUUGAUUAGUGGUUGACUAGGUUGAACUCUGGGCCUGGGCACUGGCCCUGAGCUUUAUGCCCAAGGCUAGCAUUCUAACACUUGAGCCAUAGUGCUACUUCCAGCUUUUCUGUAUAUGUAUUAAUGAGGAAUCAAAUCCAGGGCUUCAUACAUGCUAGACAAGCACUCGACCACUAAGCCACAUUCCCAGCCUGGCUUACGUUUCUUUUUGAAGUGCUAACUUUCUAAAUUGAUUCUGGUUGCCAGACUCUG